AUCAGUGGAUCCCUCAUUCAGGAGCAGUGCUGCAGGGCAACACUUAUUUCCAGGGGUGACCCAGGCCUGCAGGGUCCCAGUGUCAGUCAUCGGCAGGCUUUGCCCAAGCCUGCACUCAAGCCCCUAUUCCUCCUCUCCCACAGGGAAUGUGACAUCCUCUUCCAGGGUACAGCCACCUGCAGAGGGCCUGACACAUCUGUUGGAGCCACUGUAUUCUGAGCCAUGCCAUGGCUCUGACCUGAGACUCUGAGUGGCUGCUGGAGGUGCAGAAGGGGAUUGCUGUCCUGCCCCGUGGGAGGUGGGUGAGACUCCACUGCCCCUAAGACCUGGGUGGGGGUGGCUGCUGCAUAUCCUUAGGAAAAGUGGGACAGAAAGUCAGGUUAUUUGCUCAGAGGGGACCCUGCAUGGAGCCCAAGCUCUCUCAAAGAUGGGACAUUCAAGCCAAUGAAUGUGUCUGAGCAGGGCCAGAACCCCUAGUGAGCCCAACCUGCUGCCCUCAGCCUGACAUAUGCGGACAUGUGUCAGGAGACAAGUGUCCUGCACCCAAGACUGCUUGGUGCUUGGAGAUAAAUGUCCUGGGGACAGUUGGGGACAAGUGUUGUGCACCAA
rnacentral:lncRNA from 13 species